rnacentral:rRNA from 1 species
CCUACGGGGGGCUGCAGUGAGGAAUAUUGGUCAAUGGACGGAAGUCUGAACCAGCCAUGCCGCGUGAAGGACGACGGCCCUAUGGGUUGUAAACUUCUUUUGCAGCAGAGCAAUAAGGCGUACGUGUACGUCGAUGAGAGUAUGUUGCGAAUAAGCAUCGGCUAACUCCGUGCCAGCAGCCGCGGUAAUACGGAGGAUGCGAGCGUUAUCCGGAUUUAUUGGGUUUAAAGGGUGCGUAGGCUGUGCUGCGAGUCAGCGGUGAAAGAGCGGAGCUCAACUCCGAAAGUGCCGUUGAUACUGCAGUGCUGGAGUACCCCUGCCGUGGGAGGAAUGAGUGGUGUAGCGGUGAAAUGCAUAGAUAUCACUCAGAACACCGAUUGCGAAGGCAUCUCACGAAAGGGCAACUGACGCUGAGGCACGAAAGCGUGGGGAUCAAACAGGAUUAGAUACCCCAGUAGUC